CCUACGGGAGGCAGCAGUGAGGAAUAUUGGUCAAUGGACGAGAGUCUGAACCAGCCAAGUAGCGUGAAGGAUGACUGCCCUAUGGGUUGUAAACUUCUUUUAUAUGGGAAUAAAACGUUCCACGUGUGGGAUUUUGUAUGUACCAUAUGAAUAAGGAUCGGCUAACUCCGUGCCAGCAGCCGCGGUAAUACGGAGGAUCCGAGCGUUAUCCGGAUUUAUUGGGUUUAAAGGGAGCGUAGGUGGAUUGUUAAGUCAGUGGUGAAAGUUUGCGGCUCAACCGUAAAAUUGCAGUUGAAAAUGGCAGUCUUGAGUACAGUAGAGGUGGGCGGAAUUCGUGGUGUAGCGGUGAAAUGCUUAGAUAUCACGAAGAACUCCGAUUGCGAAGGCAGUUCACUGGACUGCAACUGACACUGAGGCUCGAAAGUGUGGGUAUCAAACAGGAUUAGAUACCCUGGUAGUC
rnacentral:rRNA from 1 species